AGUGAACGCUGGCGGUAGGCCUAACACAUGCAAGUCGAACGGCAGCACAGUAAGGGCUUGCUCUUACGGGUGGCGAGUGGCGGAGGGGUGAGGAAUACAUCGGAAUCUACUUUUUGGUGGGGGAUAACGUAGGGAAACUUACGCUAAUACGGCAUACGACCUACGGGUGAAAGCAGGGGAUCUUCGGACCUUGCGCGAUUGAAUGAGCCGAUGUCGGAUUAGCUAGUUGGCGGGGUAAAGGCCCACCAAGGCGACGAUCCGUAGCUGGUCUGAGAGGAUGAUCAGCCACACUGGAACUGAGACACGGUCCAGACUCCUACGGGAGGCAGCAGUGGGGAAUAUUGGACAAUGGGCGCAAGCCUGAUCCAGCCAUACCGCGUGGGUGAAGAAGGCCUUCGGGUUGUAAAGCCCUUUUGUUGGGAAAGAAAAGCAGCAGGUUAAUACCCCGCUGUUCUGACGGUACCCAAAGAAUAAGCACCGGCUAACUUCGUG
rnacentral:rRNA from 1 species